rnacentral:rRNA from 1 species
UAGCGUAGGGGGCAAGCGUUGUCCGGAUUUACUGGGCGUAAAGAGCGCGUAGGCGGAAAUUUAAGCGCUGGCCUGAAAGCCCCCGGGCUCAACCGGGGAGUGCGGCUGCGAACUGGGUUUCUUGAGGACGAUAGAGGAGAGUGGAAUUCCUGGUGUAGCGGUGAAAUGCGUAGAUAUCAGGAGGAACACCCGAGGCGAAGGCGGCUCUCUGGACCAGCACUGACACUGAGGCACGGAAAGCGUGGGGAGCAAACAGG